GCCGGAGCUCCUCGCCGUCGCAGCUCGCCGCCAUUCGGUCCCUCGCCCGCUCGCCAGCUCGCGCCGUUGCCUCGCCAUUCCGCCUUCGCCGAGCCUCCAGCACCGUCACCUGCAUCGUCCAGCUGCUGCCGCCGCCGCCAAGGCCACCGUGCGCCCCCACCUUAGCCCGCCGGAGCUUCGCCUUGCCUCCGCCGCCCUUGGCCGCCUCAACCGGCGCCGGAUCCGCCCAUUCUCAGCCUUAAACCGCCAUGGACAGCAGCUGCAGAAAAUGGGUAUGGCAGCCCAUGUUUGGCCCGUUUUGGCCGCCUUCCCGAGCCCGGAUGCUCGGCCCGCCUUGAGGAAAGUCGAUCCUCGCGUCGUCCUCGUCGUUUUGGUCCGCUCGGCUCGCUAAUCAGGUGAGUUUAGCUCACUAAACCUCGCUUAGAGGGUUAAUUAUGCUUAAGGAGGUUUAGUUUAUGUUAAGUAAUAUUAGGUUGUUAGUUUAGGUUAAUUAAGAGUAGAUUUGAUUAAGGUUGUGGUUUAAUUUAAAGUGUGCUUAAUUAAGGGUAAGUAGGUUUAUUUAAAAUAAGCCUUGAUUUGACAUAAAUGAAUUUACUUUUGAUUUAUUUAAAUGUCUCGAAAUUAUUAUAUAAUUUAAUAAUAUAUUUUAUUCGAAAUUAAUAAAAUAUUAUUAUUUAAUUAUUUUCGGAAUAUAUUAAAUUAUUUGUUAAAUUCCGAAAAUUUUGUCGAGACCUUAAAUUCUCAGAAUUUCGUGCCGGUCGUUACUGUGUAGUCGGAUUUUGAAAUUGAUGAUUGGAUAUUAUAAAUUGAGUGUGGAUUUCGAAAACUAUGGAUAUUAUUAUUUAAUGAAUUUUCGGAAUAAAUUUAAUUAUCUAUUAAAUUCCAAAAAUUUUCAUUGGGACCUUAUUUGCUCAGAAUUUCGUGCCGAUCGUUGCUAUGCUUGUAGAAUUUGAAAUUGAUGAUUGGUUGUGGCGAAUUGAAUGUGAUUUUGAUUUAUGAGGAUUCUUUAUAAAAUCCUAAGUGUAGAAAUUGAUGGGAGAUUGGCUGUGAUUGACCACCUAUUAGAGGUCGUGCCCAGUGAGGCCAUGAUGUACCACCUAGGAAAGGUCGUGCCCAAUGAGGCCGUGAAAAACCACCUACGAGAGGUCGUGCCCGAUGAGGCCGUAAAAUACCACCUAUUAGAGGUCGUGCCCAGUGAGGCCGUGAUAAACCACCUAUGAGAGGUCGUGCCCAGUGAGGCCGUGAUAAACCACCUAUUAGAGGUCGUGCCCGAUGAGGCCGUGAUAUGCCACCUAUUAGAGGUCGCGCCCAAUGGGGCCAUGAAUUGCCACCUGUUAAAGGUCGCGCCGAGUGGGGCCGUGAUGCCACUGAUUUAAAUUUGCCGAGUAGGGCCGUAGUUGAGAGCAAUGAUUGAUUUGCUAGAAUAACAUGUAAUCAGCCGAGUCGAUUGAUCACUGAGACGAUCCAAGUGGUUGAAUGGUUUGAUAAUGUGAUUGUGCCAUGGUUGUUUGGUUAUCAUAAUUGCACGUGGUUGGUUCAUAUAAAUUGUGCUAACCUGUAGAUAAAGGCUGAGGCGAGGUAAGUCCUCUGUGUGAUGUGGCUAAGCCACCCGGGGCGUAUUUUCUUUCUAAUAGGAGUUUAGGGGGUUGAACUUGCUGAGACAUCGUCUCAUCCCGGUUGUGGGAUUAAAAUUUCAGGUCCCUGGUGGACGGAGCGACCAGAUAGCUUUGGUUGGCCUUGAGGAGUUGCAGAGGUGAAGUCAUAAGGAUUGGAGAGCGUGUCCGACUUGUAGGUCGUAGGACAAUUCCUUUUUAAGGGCCGGUCUUUUGUAGACUGUUGGCCGUAGACCUCUGUUUGUAAUUCUGUUGAAUUAUGGAAGUGUUAUGUUGUGGUUUUGCUUCCUGCUUUUCUAUCCCGUAUUUUAUUGUCAGGGGUUUUAUAAUACGUUCCGC
rnacentral:lncRNA from 1 species